rnacentral:rRNA from 1 species
UACUGCAUAGCUAGGGAGUGGGAGAGGUAGACGGUACUCUGUAGGAAGGGGUAAAAUCCUUUGAUCUAUAGAUGACCACCAGUGGCGAAGGCGGUCUACCAGAACACGUCCGACGGUGAGGGAUGAAAGCUGGGGGAGCAAACCGGAUUAGAUACCCGGGUAGUCCCAGCUGUAAACUAUGCAAACUCAGUGAUGCAUUGGCUUGUGGCCAGUGCAGUGCCGCAGAGAAGUCGUUAAGUUUGCCGCCUGGGAAGUACGUACGCAAGUAUGAAACUUAAAGGAAUUGGCGGGGGAGCACCACAAGGGGUGAAGCCUGCGGUUCAAUUGGAGUCAACGCCAGAAAUCUUACCCGGAGAGACAGCAGGAUGAAGGUCAAGCUGAAGACUUUACCAGACAAGCUGAGAAGUGGUGCAUGGCCGUCGCCAGCUCGUGCCGU